CUUGUUCUGGGAAUGCCUCUGAGAUUUCUACUUUUUCUACUGUUCAUUCUUGCCUCUCUCUGAGGGGUUGAUUUCAAUUGUUACACAUUCCUUCCCUGUGGUAUGUAAUCCCUGGACCUGGGGGAUAAGGGCUCAGGGAUCCACUAUCCCUUCUCAUGGCUGCCAAAGGAUAUCACUUCUGUUUUUUCUAGAAAAUUUCUCCACAAACUGAGAGCUCCAGAAUUGAUGACUCAGAGUGAACCGAGGAGAUCACUACUGUGCACAAGUUUGCCUCCAAACAACUGGGUGAUGCCUCCAAACAGACCUGGAAUCAUCCAUUUCUCCAAGGAUCUCUGCUUCUUCUUGUAAAAUAGGCUAUUUAAGGACUACAAUCUGAGCAUUAAGGGUCUUGGAGGAAGGCAUCCUUCUAUUCUACUGAUCAGAAAGCUGGACAAAGUCCCACUGCCAGGCUACACAGUUGGUGCCAUUUGCGGAGGCCCACCCGCAGCGGUCACGUGAAGGACCGAGCGCCGCGCGCCCAGGCGGGGCCUCCGGCCUGCACGAGGAGGGCAGAGUCCGUUGCGGCUGCCGCCCCGACGCCCGCGCAUCCCCGCUCGCCGCGCCCGCCGCCGCGAUGUCCGGGGCCGGCCUAGCCGCGGUGGUGAGCUGCCUGCGCCCGCAGCCCGGCGAGGAGCCGCAGACCCAUGAGGACCUUCUCCUGGCAGCUGCCUAUGUUUUGGAUGCCCAGUACAACAGAAAUGUUCCAUUUGAAACUCACCUCAGGCCAUCAGACGUUACUAUUUUUAUAACCACUAGACAACGCAGGUUGCCGCAUACUUCUUUAUUUGUGUAGACCUCGCUCUUGCCCUGUUUGAAGAGUCUGAGUUGCUUCCCCUGCCUUUCUUGGCCACCUCAAUAGCAGAAGUACUCUGCCUGACUGCAUACUUUGGCAGACUGGUACAUUUUGCAAAAGUCACUCCUCAAAUGGUUUUCUGGAAGGAUACAAAAGACAUCUGCACCAUGGUAACCACAGUGGCGAGUGUUCAUUGUAGUACCUGUAAGAGUUUAUGACCGAAGGCAGGAGCCAUGAAGAAAAAAGACUCAAUAGAUUUGCUUUUGAUGAAACAACAACACUUCCAUACAGUGAACGCCAUAAGCACAACUGCAAGCAAACCCCAAACUGAAGAACAAAUAGGGCAAAAUGUGGCAGUGCAGACAUUUCAGCAUAUCAAGAGCACUUCCAAAUUACAGGAAAAAAAAGAUAUCUCAAUAGAUAAUUUUGCUGAAGAUAAGUGAAGGCAACUCAUAAGGAAAAAAUAUGUAAAAUGGCCGAUAGGAAAGAUGUUUAACGUCACUAAUUAAAAAUUAUAGAAUAAAACGACAAUAAAAUACCAUGUGUUUGCCUAUAAAAAAUCUUAGCAAGAUUGAAAACAAACUUUUUGUAAUUUCAAUUUUUAGUUUAGAUUCAGGUGGUACAUGUGCAGGUUUGUUACAUGGGUAUAUUUCGUGAUGGUGAGGUUUGGGGUACAACUGAUCCCAUCACUCAGGUAGUGAGCCUAGAAUCCAGCAGGUAGUUUUUCAACCCUUCCCCUCCUCUGUCCCUUCCCCUCAGGAAUCCCCAGUGUCUACUGUUGCCAUCUUUGUGUCCAUGAGUACCCAGUGUUUAGCUCCUACUUAUAAGUGACAACAUGCAGUAUUUGGUUUUCUGUUCUCUGUUAAUUCACUUAGGAUGAUGGCCUCUGGCUGCAUCCAUACUACUGCAAAGGACAUAAUUUCAUUCUUUUUAAAUGACUGCAUAGUAUUCCAUGGUGUAUAUGUACCACAUUUUCUUUGCCUAACCCACCAUUGAUGAGCACCUAAGUUGCUUCCAUGUCUUUGCCAUAAAACAAAUGUUCUUACACCCUACAAGAGAGAGGAAUAAAACUGUCUUUCUGGAAGGCUCUUUGGCAGCUCCUUUCAAAAGCCUUGAAGGUGAAUAUAUUUUAACCCUGGACUUCCAUUCCUGGGAAUUUAUCUGUAGGAAAGAAGGAUGCAUUCAGAGAUUUAGCCACAAAAUUGGUGGUGGCUGACGGUUUAUAAUAUUGAAAAAUUGGAAACAACCUGAUUUCCAGACAAAAAUUAUAAGA
rnacentral:lncRNA from 1 species